UUGGCUCAGUUGGUGGAGCAUGGUGUUUGCAACGCCAGCAUGGUGUGUGCAACGCCAGGGUUGUGGGUUCGAUUCCCACA
rfam:Salmo salar isolate Sally breed double haploid chromosome ssa25, whole genome shotgun sequence.